GGUUUGAGAGGAUGAUCAGCCCCAUUGGGACUGAGACCCGGCCCGAACUUCCUACGGGAGGCAGCCGUGGGGAAUAUUGGACAAUGGGGGCAACCCUGAUCCAGCCCUGCCGCGUGUGUGAAGAAGGCCCUCGGGUUGUAAAGCACUUUCAGCGAGGAAGAACGCUUAGUGGUUAAUACUCGUUGGGAAAGACAUCACUCGCAGAAGAAGCACCGGCUAACUCCGUGCCAGCAGCCGCGGUAAUACGGAGGGUGCAAGCGUUAAUCGGAAUUACUGGGCGUAAAGCGCGCGUAGGUGGCUUGAUAAGCCGGAUGUGAAAGCCCCGGGCUCAACCUGGGAACGGCAUCUGGAACUGUCAGGCUAGAGUGCAGGAGAGGAAGGUAGAAUUCCCGGUGUAGCGGUGAAAUGCGUAGAGAUCGGAAGGAACACCAGUGGCGAAGGCGGCCUUCUGGACUGACACUGACACUGAGGUGCGAAAGCGUGGGUAGCAAACAGGAUUAGAUACCCUGGUAGUCCACGCCGUAAACGAUGUCUACCAGCCGUUGGGAGUCUAGCGCACUUUGUGGCGCAGUUAACGCAAUAAGUCGACCGCCUGGGGAGUACGGCCGCAAGGUUAAAACUCAAAUGAAUUGACGGGGGCCCGCACAAGCGGUGGAGCAUGUGGUUUAAUUCGAUGCAACGCGAAGAACCUUACCUGCCCUUGACAUCUACAGAACUCUGAAGAGAUUCUGGGGUGCCUUCGGGAACUGUAACACAGGUGCUGCAUGGCUGUCGUCAGCUCGUGUCGUGAAAUGUUGGGUUAAGUCCCGUAACGAGCGCAACCCCUGUCCUUAUUUGCCAGCGAGUCAUGUGAGGAACUCUAAGGAAACUGCCGGUGACAAACCGAAGGAAGGUGGGGACAACGUCAGGUCAUCAUGGCCCUUACGGCUAGGGCUACCCACUUGCUAC
rnacentral:rRNA from 1 species